GAUGUUUCUUGUUUUGUUAAUAAAUUAGAGUGUUGGUUUUCCCGUUUGAAUGUGUUUCACUGGUCAUUUUGGGGCUCUUUAUAGCUUCCUGUUCUGUGUGAGCCACAUCUCCUUGUUGGAGGGCAUACUUUGACCUAUAAUUGUUUAACUUUAAAUACUUUUUGACUAGGAUGGAGAUUUGUCUGAUUGGCACUCAUACCACCUCUUCUUAUUUAUAUAUGUAUAAUGAUAAAAACUUGUAACAUAAGUGUAAUAAAAAUUUGCCUUUAUAUAUUGCUAUCACGUUGUCGUCGUAGACAUUUUAGUUUCCGG
rnacentral:lncRNA from 1 species